rnacentral:rRNA from 1 species
UACGUAGGGCGCAAGCGUUGUCCGGAAUUAUUGGGCGUAAAGAGCUCGUAGGCGGCUUGUCACGUCUGCUGUGAAAUCCCGGGGCUCAACCCCGGGCGUGCAGUGGAUACGGGCUGGCUAGAGGCAGGCAGGGGAGAACGGAAUUCCUGGUGUAGCGGUGAAAUGCGCAGAUAUCAGGAGGAACACCGGUGGCGAAGGCGGUUCUCUGGGCAUUACCUGACGCUGAGGAGCGAAAGUGUGGGGAGCGAACAGG